rnacentral:rRNA from 1 species
CCCUUAGACGUUCUGGGCCGCACGCGCGCUACACUGACCAGUGCAACAAGCAUCCGUCCUUGGCCGACAGGCCCGGGCAAUCUUUGAACGCUGGUCGUGAUGGGGAUAGACUUUUGCAAUUUUUGGUCUUCAACGAGGAAUUCCUAGUAAACGCAAGUCAUCAACUUGCAUUGAUUACGUCCCUGCCCUUUGUACACACCGUCCGUCGCACCUACCGAUUGAAUGGUCCGGUGAAGCCUCCGGAUUGGCGCGCACCUCGGUGCCGCCGAGAAGUUGGCUAAACCUUACCAUUUAGAGGAAGGUGAAGUCGUANCA